rnacentral:rRNA from 1 species
UACGGGGGGGGCAAGCGUUGUUCGGAAUUACUGGGCGUAAAGGGCUCGUAGGCGGCCAACUAAGUCAGACGUGAAAUCCCUCGGCUUAACCGGGGAACUGCAUCUGAUACUGGAUGGCUUGAGACCGGGAGAGGUGAGUGGAAUUCCCAGUGUAGCGGUGAAAUGCGUAGAUAUUGGGAGGAACACCAGUGGCGAAGGCGGCUCACUGGACCGGUACUGACGCUGAUGCGCGAAAGCGUGGGGAGCAAACGGGG